GCCAUCAGUUCGGCUGGGCACUCUAUGGAGACUGCCACCUAAAGUGGAGGAAGGUGGGGAGUGACGUCAAGUCAGCAUGGCCCUUACGUCCGGGGCGUACACACGUGCUACAAUGGCCGGUACAAAGGGUUGCGAAGCCGUGAGGUGGAGCGAAUCUCAAAAAGACCGGCCUCAGUUCGGAUUGGAGGCUGCAACUCGCCUCCAUGAAGUCGGAAUCGCUAGUAACCGCAGAUCAGCCAAGCCGCGGUGAAUACGUUCCCGGGCCUU
rnacentral:rRNA from 1 species